GAACAGAUUGAGGCAUGCUAUGCCUUGGGGGUGCCUCGGUGUCACUAAUGGCUCCGUUGUCUUGUUUUUGCUGAGCAUAAUUCCAAAAAAGUGCAGCAUAUCUUGACCUUAAAAACAUUACGUCAAAGAUACCACUUGGAUUUUCUUGACCAUAAGACAGCCACUCGGCAAAAGCAGGCAUAUAGAUACCGCAAUCCCUGCGCAUAGGAUUAGACGUC
rnacentral:misc_RNA from 1 species